rnacentral:rRNA from 1 species
GAUGAACGCUAGCGGCAGGCCUAACACAUGCAAGUCGAGGGGGAAGUUACUUUCGGGUGACUGAGACCGGCGUACGGGUGCGUAACGCGUAUACAAUCUGCCUUUCACUGGGGGAUAGCCCGAAGAAAUUUGGAUUAAUACCCCAUAGUAUAUAGGGACGGCAUCGUUUUUAUAUUAAAGCUUAGGUGGUGAAAGAUGAGUAUGCGUUCUAUUAGCUAGUUGGAGAGGUAACGGCUCCCCAAGGCGAUGAUAGAUAGGGGUUCUGAGAGGGAUGUCCCCCACACUGGUACUGGGGUACGGACCAGACUCCUACGGGAGGCAGCAGUGAGGAAUAUUGGACAAUGGUCGGAAGACUGAUCCAGCCAUGCCGCGUGCAGGAUGAAGGUCUUAGGGAUUGUAAACUGCUUUUGGAAGGGAAGAAUAAGGGCUACGCGUAGUUUGAUGACGGUACCUUACGAAUAAGCAUCGGCUAACUCCGUG